CAACAGAUUGUAUAGUGUGAAGCCAGUAGCUCUGCCCUAACCGUACCGUACCAUUUCCUAUGGAUCUAUAUCUGAAGGGGGCCCAGGAAUGGUGUGGUUUGGUUUGGUUGUAUGGGCCAUUUUCAUAAUGGAAACACUCAAAAUAGAGCACCAGACCAUACCGACCUGAACCAUACCACUCAGUGGAAACUGGGCAUUUGUUUCUUUCUAGGGUCCCUCC